UAAAUCAGAAUAAUUGAAGUUGGGAUCUAAAAAGCAAGUUUUUACAGUCAAUGGAUUCAUCAGGAUCUGAAUAUCAUUGGCAUUUAACUGUGGAAGAAGAAAGGAUGAGGCUGUCACUGGCUCGGCCAGCAUUUAUUGCUGCGUUUACCCAGAGGGCAGUUAAGAGUCAACCACGUUGCUGUAGGUCUGGAGUCCCAUGCAGACCAGACCAGAUCCCAGUGAUCAGUGCCAAAGCCCCAUUGCCUGUGGAGAGGGUGAUGUUUGAUUUCCCUGUCCAGCUGCAGUUCAUGUGGUGAAGGUGCUCCCACAAUGUGGUUGGGUGGACAUUCAGAUGGUAAUCUCAGUAAUUGUAACGCCAAACUGUGACAAAAUUACUCAAUUCAUCAGGAGCUGGAU